GUGGGGAAUCUUAGACAAUGGGCGCAAGCCUGAUCUAGCCAUGCCGCGUGAGCGAUGAAGGCCUUAGGGUUGUAAAGCUCUUUCAGCUGGGAAGAUAAUGACGGUACCAGCAGAAGAAGCCCCGGCUAACUCCGUGCCAGCAGCCGCGGUAAUACGGAGGGGGCUAGCGUUGUUCGGAAUUACUGGGCGUAAAGCGCACGUAGGCGGAUCAGAAAGUCAGAGGUGAAAUCCCAGGGCUCAACCUUGGAACUGCCUUUGAAACGCCUGAUCUUGAGGUCGAGAGAGGUGAGUGGAAUUCCGAGGGUAGAGGUGAAAUUCGUAGAUAUUCGGAGGAACACCAGUGGCGAAGGCGGCUCACUGGCUCGAUACUGACGCUGAGGUGCGAAAGCGUGGGGAGCAAACAGGAUUAGAAACCCCUGUAGUCC
rnacentral:rRNA from 1 species